UAAUGCAUGCUGAAAGAUCAUCUAUAAAUCACAAUAUAAAUUUAAAAUUAUUCCAGUAAACCAUGAUAAAGUCAGCACAGAUAAUAAGUCACCAUAUUACAGAAAAUUUUUACUCUGUAGAACUCUAGACAUUCCCCCUUAAGAAUAAAGAAAGAACUUAUAUUCUAGAAGGAGCACACAAUAUGAGAGCUGGGAGUUAUAUAGAAAUCACUGACUUAUGAACUAUCACAUCAGGAAAAUACAUAACAUUAUUAAAAAAAACUGGAAAAGGAAGUCAGAAGUCACAAUUAUGAUUUCAUGACUGCAGCUACAUCACAGUCAACUAAUAGAGAAAUUCCCUGUCUAUGCACUGCCCUUUAGUAAUCCUGGUCACUGGCCCCAAAUCAUGUGUGAUACAUCGCAUAUGCUUUG
rnacentral:lncRNA from 1 species